AUGCUCUUUUAUCAAGUGCUCAUGAGUGGCCAAGCGCUCCAGAUAUAUAACUCAAUAUAUGAUGAUGUUCAUUCCAUGGACAAAGUAUCAGUUCUUACUAAAGGGAAACAACUAGAAUUUUCUCUGCAAAUCUCGUACAUGGUGAUUCUUGAUUUAUCAACCGGAGUGAUCCCUGGAGAUAUUGGUUGUCUCAUUGGUUUAAGAGGUCUGAAGUUUUCAUGGAACAAGUUAACUGGAGAAAUCCCUGAGAAAAUUAGUGAGCUCAAGCAAUUGGAAUCACUUGACUUUUCAAACAAUGAGCUUUCCGGUGGAAUCCCUUCAAGCAUGGAAACCAUGACCUCUUUAAGACAUAUAUGA
rnacentral:rRNA from 1 species